rnacentral:misc_RNA from 1 species
GAUGAAGAACGUAGCGAAACGCGAUAUGUAAUGUGAAUUGCAGAAUUCAGUGAAUCAUCGAAUCUUUGAACGCACAUGGCGCCUUCCAGUAUCCUGGGAGGCAUGCCUGUCCGAGCGUCGUUUCAACCCUCGAGCCCUCGUGGCCCGGCGUUGGGGAUCUGUCACGGCAGGCCCCGAAAUACAGUGGCGGACCCGUUAGGCCCUUCCUUUGCGUAGUAGCAUUAGCCUCGCAUCGGGAGCCGGCGGGCUCUCCUGCCUCUAAACCCCCCAACAAGCCCGCUCCGGCGGCACCAAGGUUGACCUCGGAUCAGGUAGGAAUACCCGCUGAACUUAAGCAUAUCAAUAAGCGGAGGA